UGUCUGUAUCAGCAGAAUUCACUGGUGUCUGCACCAUGGCCUGGAUUCCUCUCUACUUCCUCCUCCUUCACUGCACAGGGUCUUUCUCCCAACCUUUGCUGACUCAGUCACCCACAGCCUCAGCCUCCCUGGGAGCCUCAGUCAAACUCACCUGCACCUUGAGUAGUGACUACAGCACCAACACCAUUUAUUGGUACCAGCAACAGCCAGACAAGGCCCCUAAGUAUCUGAUGUAUGUUUACAGUAGUGGAAACCAUGGAAAGGGAGAUGGGAUCCCUGAUCGCUUCUCUGGCUCCAGUUCUGGAGCUCAGCGUUACUUAAGCAUCUCCAACAUUCAGCCUGAGGAUGAAGCAGACUAUUUCUGUGCUACAUAUCGUAACAGUGUGUAUGUUUUCGGCGGCGGAACCCAGCUCACUGUCCUAGGUCAGCCCAAAUCUUCUCCCAAAAUCACGGUGUUUCCACCUUCACCUGAGGAGCUCCAGACAAACAAAGCCACACUGGUGUGUCUGAUCAACGACUUCUCCCCACGUACUGUAACAGUGGCUUGGGCGGCAGAUGGUGUGCCUAUCACCCAGGGUGUGCAGACUACAAAAUCCACCAAAGAAAACAAAAACUACAUGGCCAGCAGCUAUCUAAGUUUGACAGCAGACCAGUGGAGAUCUUACAAGAGCGUUUCCUGCAAAGUUACUCAUGAAGGGAGUCUUGUGGAGAAGAGUUUGUCCCCUGCACAAUGUAGCUAGGAGCCCAGACUUCUCCUGAGCCUGGGAAGUGUGGAGCUAGGAGACUCAGAAUGGGGUCUCUUCUCUAUACUAGGGAAUCCAGGCUUCUCUUUUACCCACUGAAUAUUCAAUAAAAUAUCAUUAGUUAAUCAGA